rnacentral:rRNA from 1 species
GUUAAUAUUCCUGUACUUGGUGUUACUGCGAAGGGGGGACGGAGAAGGCUAUGUUAGCCGGGCGACGGUUGUCCCGGUUUAAGCAUGUAGGCUGGUUAUCCAGGCAAAUCCGGAUAAUCAAGGCUGAGGUGUGAUGACGAGGCACUACGGUGCUGAAGUAACAAAUGCCCUGCUUCCAGGAAAAGCCUCUAAGCAUCAGGUAACAUCAAAUCGUACCCCAAACCGACACAGGUGGUCAGGUAGAGAAUACCAAGGCGCUUGAGAGAACUCGGGUGAAGGAACUAGGCAAAAUGGUGCCGUAACUUCGGGAGAAGGCACGCUGGUGUGUAGGUGAAGUCCCUGCGGAUGGAGCUGAGACCAGUCGAAGAUACCAGCUGGCUGCAACUGUUUAUUAAAAACACAGCACUGUGCAAACACGAAAGUGGACGUAUACGGUGUGACGCCUGCCCGGUGCCGGAAGGUUAAUUGAUGGGGUUAUCCGUAAGGAGAAGCUCUUGAUCGAAGCCCCGGUAAACGGCGGCCGUAACUAUAACGGUCCUAAGGUAGCGAAAUUCCUUGUCGGGUAAGUUCCGACCUGCACGAAUGGCGUAAUGAUGGCCAGGCUGUCUCCACCCGAGACUCAGUGAAAUUGAACUCGCUGUGAAGAUGCAGUGUACCCGCGGCAAGACGGAAAGACCCCGUGAACCUUUACUAUAGCUUGACACUGAACAUUGAGCCUUGAUGUGUAGGAUAGGUGGGAGGCUUUGAAGCGUGGACGCCAGUCUGCGUGGAGCCAACCUUGAAAUACCACCCUUUAAUGUUUGAUGUUCUAACGUUGGCCCCUGACCGGGGUUGCGGACAGUGUCUGGUGGGUAGUUUGACUGGGGCGGUCUCCUCCCAAAGCGUAACGGAGGAGCACGAAGGUUAGCUAAUCCUGGUCGGACAUCAGGAGGUUAGUGCAAUGGCAUAAGCUAGCUUGACUGCGAGCGUGACGGCGCGAGCAGGUGCGAAAGCAGGUCAUAGUGAUCCGGUGGUUCUGAAUGGAAGGGCCAUCGCUCAACGGAUAAAAGGUACUCCGGGGAUAACAGGCUGAUACCGCCCAAGAGUUCAUAUCGACGGCGGUGUUUGGCACCUCGAUGUCGGCUCAUCACAUCCUGGGGCUGAAGUAGGUCCCAAGGGUAUGGCUGUUCGCCAUUUAAAGUGGUACGCGAGCUGGGUUUAGAACGUCGUGAGACAGUUCGGUCCCUAUCUGCCGUGGGCGCUGGAGAAUUGAGGGGGGCUGCUCCUAGUACGAGAGGACCGGAGUGGACGCAUCACUGGUGUUCGGGUUGUCAUGCCAAUGGCACUGCCCGGUAGCUAAAUGCGGAAGAGAUAAGUGCUGAAAGCAUCUAAGCACGAAACUUGCCCCGAGAUGAGUUCUCCCUGAGACUUUAAGUCUCCUGAAGGAACGUU